AUCGUCGAUCUGCUGCGGACAGAUGAAAUGGAUAUGAACAUCAAGCGCGCCAGCGGUCAGGAUCUUGCCUUCCCCGGCAAUGGCUUCUGUACCUGGUCCGACGAUAAUAUCGACGCCCGGCUGGACAUCUGGAUUGCCGGCCUUGCCGAUACCGACAAUGCGGCCGUCCUUGAGGCCGACAUCGGCUUUCACGAUGCCCCAGUGAUCAACAAUCAGCGCAUUGGUGAUGACGGUAUCGACUGCGCCUGCGGACCUUGGUUCCUGGCUUUGUCCCAUGCCGUCGCGGAU
rnacentral:sRNA from 1 species